rnacentral:lncRNA from 1 species
GGCCAAUGGGAAUUGACCUGGUUAACAGGAGGCCUAGGAAAAAAAGAGAGGGAGAGAGACGUUGAGAAAAGGAUGGAUUUUUACAUACAGGACCGUUGGUGAAGAAAAAUUAUAAAAGAAGACAACAAAACUAUAACAAAACCAUUACCUACUAAGACAUGAAGGGAAAUAUCGAUUUUUUUUUAUAAGAUAGUUGUUAUAAUUUUGUUAAGACUUAGUAAAGACUGAAGCUACCGUUUCAUCAUGGAGGUAUUUGACAGCCUUGAGGUUAGCCUAGCAUAGUGUAACACCGAGAGAGAAUUGCUUGGGAAAGCUUAACGAGUUCAUGGGAUAUCGGUUACUGCUAAAGAGUACUGUCUGCAUUGAUGGCUGUGCUCGCUGUGGAUCUUGUGAGGAAACCUGCAAGGAACUGCCAUACUUCGCUGAAGGAAUAUCUUCAAGUAAUGAGUAUUCACAUACCUGCUGCGCCUUGGUCCAUUUAUGAAGACAGCCGUUACAGAACCACCCACCAAAGGACCAAGCAGCAGAAGAGGAGGAAGCCACUGGAGAGAAAAAAGGAGGAAUGGACUUGGGAACAGAUCCUGGACGGAGAGGGACCAUGGACUCAGGCUGGGGAUUAUCGCCUCCAGCAGUGGGAGAUUGAAGCGGCGAGAGCGGAGAGGCGCUAUUACGAAGAGAGAGAGCGCAACGAGCGCGAGAGGCACCCACAAUAAAAAAAAUUGGGGGGGCACACGGGUAGCUUGGCCAGGCCAGGGAAGAGCCGUAAGCCAGCUACCCGUGACUACAGGGAGGUGCAUAUGAGGUGGAGGGCGCCAUGUUACGCUGAGGUACGCACCAUCUCGCCUAUACGGACGCACAGCCCAGUUCGCCCAGUACCAGCGCCCCGCAGGUGCCAGGGCAAGGGGAGCAUCGAGCCGGAAGGGGUGAUGCCAACCAUGCACUCAAGACCGCCAGUGCGCCCUUUCGGUCCGGUGUUUCCCGCUAGACGCACUAGCAUGGAGGUGCGUGUCUCCAGGCUGGCACUUCCAAUACCAGCCCCACGCAUCAGGAGUCUAGUGUGUCAGCCCAGCCUCGCCAGUCAACAGUCACCAGAGCUGCCCGCCAGUCAACAGUCACCAGAGCUGCCCGCCAGUCAACAGUCACCAGACUGCCCUGAACUGCCAGAGUGGCCAGACUGCCCUGAACUGCCAGAGUGGCCAGACUGCCCUGAACUGCCAGAGUGGCCAGACUGCCCUGAACUGCCAGAGUGGCCAGACUGCCCUGAACUGCCAGAGUGGCCAGACUGCCCUGAACUGCCCGAGUGGCCCUCCUGCCCUCCGGUCCAGCCCGAGUGGCCCUCCUGCCCUCCGGUCCAGCCCGAGUGGCCCUCCUGCCCUCCGGUCCAGCCCGAGUGGCCCUCCUGCCCUCCGGUCCAGCCCGAGUGGCCCUCCUGCCCUCCGGUCCAGCCCGAGUGGCCCUCCUGCCCUCCGGUCCAGCCCGAGGGGCCCUCCUGCCCUCCGGUCCAGCCCGAGUGGCCCUCCUGCCCUCCGGUCCAGCCCGAGGGGCCCUCCUGUCCCCCGGCCCAGCCCGAGGGGCCCUCCUGUCCUCCGGUCCAGCCCGAGUGGUCCGUCUGCCAGGGUCAGCCCGAGUGGCCCGUCUGCCCGGUGCAGCUAUCGGCGCCAUCAAAGUGGGCGACGCCGAAGGUGGAGCGAGGUCCACGGCCUGCACCUGAGCCACCUCCAGGAUAGGUGGGUUGGGGAGGGAGGGUGUAGCACAGUGCCGUCGUUGACGGCAGCCACCCUCCCUUCCCUCCCUUAUUGUUUAAGGGUUAGUGUUUAUGGAUUUUGUUGGGGAUUUUGUUUGUUGGUGUUUUUUUUGUUGUUAGGUGCAUUCCGGGGUCUGCACCUUGAGGGGGGGGGGGUACUGUCACGUCCUGACCAGCAGAUGGAGCUGUUGUAGUAGUUUGGGG